rnacentral:rRNA from 1 species
GAUAAACGCUGGCGGCGUGCUUAACACAUGCAAGUCGAACGAAGUUUUUCCUUCGGGAGAAACUUAGUGGCGGACGGGUGAGUAACGCGUGGGUAACCUGCCCUGUACAGGGGGACAACAGCUGGAAACGGCUGCUAAUACCGCAUAAGCACUUAGCACUGCAUGGUGCAUAGGGAAAAGGAGCAAUCCGGUACAGGAUGGACCCGCGUCUGAUUAGCCAGUUGGCAGGGUAACGGCCUACCAAGGCGACGAUCAGUAGCCGAUCUGAGAGGAUGUACGGCCACAUUGGGACUGAGACACGGCCCAGACUCCUACGGGAGGCAGCAGUGGGGAAUAUUGCACAAUGGAGGAAACUCUGAUGCAGCGACGCCGCGUGAGUGAAGAAGUAUUUCGGUAUGUAAAGCUCUAUCAGCAGGGAAGAAAAUGACGGUACCUGACGAAGAAGCACCGGCUAAAUACGUG